GCGCUGGUGGUGCAGUGGCGUAGAGCAUUCCCGCUCGGACAGGAGGUGCGGGUUCGAGUCCCGCCUGGCGCU
rnacentral:tRNA from 1 species